AGCCUCCUGCCUCUCUAACAGCCAAUGGCGACCAAGUCCUAGCAGUCCUAUCUCUAAAGGUCCUCGCUAUCUGUCGUCUCCCCUUCAUUUUCCCAGUUACUCCAGUUACUGUCCUACUGAAGGACCCCCAUCCCAUCUGGGCUACUAUAACCACAUGGACCAUCCCUUGCUUCAAUCAUAGAAUUCUUUCUUCAGAUCAAAGUAUAUUCAGACACCCGAUACAGUAACAAAAGCAAGCUAUCCUGGAAACAAGAAGGAAUCAGGAGGCAGAGCACAUGGUUAAAGCAUGAGAUGUGAAACCAGGAAGAACCAGGUCUGAACCUUAGCUCCACCAGUGGUAGCCCCAAACCUUGGUCCUUUCUGAGCCUGCUUCUUCAACCCUAAGGAACUCGGAAACGGGACCCAGAAAGUUGUUUUCUGCAAGUGGAUGGAACAACACAAGCAAUCAGUAUCCUGAAACAGGCCCUGUUCCAACAAACUGACCCAGAAAGGUCUGGUUAGGAGGACAGGACCCUCACUAUACACUAUCACAUUUAAACUAAAAGGAUAUUAUGGAAUUAUGUAGACAUAUCAAGCUGAGAGGAAAGGAAAUCCUAUCAUCUUGCAGGCUUCCUAAUGAUCUUACUUAAAACUGAGUUACUGCAAC
rnacentral:antisense_RNA from 1 species